AGGCAAUUAGUUUUAAAUAAAACCUUUGAUUUCGGCUCAAACAUUUAUGGUGAAAGUCCAUAAUUGCCUA
rnacentral:tRNA from 1 species